ensembl:lncRNA
AUGGAUGAUUAUAAAUGGACGUUAUUCAAAAGUGUUGUAAGCUUAAAAUGCUUGAAUUUAACAGUCCAAGGACUCCUGGUGACUUUCCUAACACAAUCACGUUCUAGAAAGCAUUAUGAAGGGAAAAUGGAGAGUUUGUUUGGGAGGGCCAGUAAUGAGGCAGAUCAUAAUCAUCAAAGUCAUAAUUCCACUUGUGGUCAGCCACUUACUGGACCUGGUGAAUCAGAUUCAGUCUCUGUGAUAUACCCUGAGCAGAGAUGGGGCAGAGAAGAUGAUUUAGACCAGAGCAAGCUACUUCCUGAGCAACCGGACAGCAGGUACUAUGAAGAGCUCAUCCGGCCUAAAAAGCUCCACAAUCCCAUCAAAACAUCCAAGAGCCACCGGGAACUCCAGAGAGAGCUGAUUAUUACACACAAAAGUUGCACACUGGCAAAGAAUUUGAGUUUGAAACAAUUUUUAACCACGAACAAGCUUAGUUGCAGCCUUAAUGUAUCACCUGACCCAAUUCCUAAUCUCAAUUCAAACGCGGUUUAAAUCACCAUUGUAUGUACAAGUUUUGUCCAACAGAGGGCAGUAAAGCCAAAGUUGUGUAUAUUCAGAUUGUAUAAAAAGACUCUGGCGGAGUUUUCCUCUUGUGGAUACAUUAAAUAAUAAUAAUAAUAAUAAUAAUCAGAUCUGGGGCACUUGUAACAUUUUUUACAUUUUCCUUCAUAAAUCACAGACUGCUUGAGAUACUAUCAUCUUUUGAUACAAGAAACAAAUAUAGGUUCACUAAUGAAUAAUCGAAUUUUCACUAAUAAGGAUAAGACUUUUUAAUUGAAUGCAAUAAGUCAGAUUGUUACAACUGCCCCUUGGUGGGGGCGAUUGAAACACUGUUUGAGGGCAACUGUACCACUGAAAAAUAAGUCAUAUUAACCCACUAUUUCUCAAAGACAAGCCUAUACUCAGUGAUCACUGCUGUGGUGUUACUUAGUGUUUUUUUUUUUUAAGAUGUAGUCAUAUAUGUUCAAAAAGCAAAAGUCUGUACAUCCGAAAAGUAACUUUCAUACCUCAAAAAGUGCUGUGGAGAAAGAGCUGUAAUCAUGUAUCACCAUACAACACUGAUCUACAGGAGCGUUGAUACUCCUCCAGCUGCUGAAUCGAACAGUUCUUUCGUUUUAUUUAGAAAGCUUGGGGUUUAGAUUUUGAAUUAAAUCACAGAUUGUGAGAAACCAAUGUGGACAAGAAUGUUGAAAAUGUGGGCCAAUGCUAUGUCAGUGUUAAGACCUGUUAAGCACUUGAAAGAGUUCACUUUAAAUUGCUGAUUAAGUGGCUGUAAUUUGCAGCAAUGAGAGAAACACACAAAAACAGAAUAACUCUAAUGUACUGGAACUGUAUGUAAUAUUUUUCUUAAGUAUAUGAACAUGGCUCAAAUCAUUUGAUAUGUUCAAAUAUGCAUACUAGUUUCGGAUACAGUGCACUAGUAUAUUUAACAAAAUGUGCAGUAUGAAAAGAAAAUAGGGAAAACUGUAUCCCAUAAUGCAGUUUCAGAUUAAAUUGUCCAUUUAGUUUGACAAAUGAACUGGCACUGUAAAUGACAAAUUGUAGCAUCUCUUUUCCUUGACUUAUUUGAUUCGACAGACAAUCUGAAUUAUUUAAAAUAACAUACAUAAUGCAUACUUUCCAUACAAAUUGUUUUUAAACGAAAUACAUUAUCACACAAUAUGAUACAAUUAUCCUUUACAGAUAAGAUAUUAAUGUAUACUGCCUCUGUUUGUGUAAGUGGCUUUUUACUUAGAGGAAUAGUUUGCUUUUUAAACAGACUUCAUGAAAUUUAGCAUUACAUCACUUGCUCAUCAGUGGAUCCUCUGCAGUGAAUGGGUGCCGUCAGAAAGAGAGUCCAAACAUCUGAUAAAAACACCACAAUAUUCCACACCACUCCAGUCCACCAAUUAACAUCUUGUGAAGUGAAAAGCUGCAUGUUCUAAUAAACAAAUCCGCCAUUAAGGAGUUUUCACUUAAAACUAAAGUCAUGUGGAUUAUUGUUACUGUUUGGACUCUUAUUCUGACGGCACCCAUUCACUGCAGAGGAUCUAUUGGUGAGCAAGCGAUGUAAUGCUAAAUAUUUUUUCAAAUCUUUUCUGAUGAAGAAACAAUCUAUGUCUUGGAUGACCUGACGGUGAGUACAUUUCAGCCAGUUUAAAUUUUUGAGUAAACUAUUCCUUUAAGAGCAUUUCCACUUAUACAGUGUUAACAUAAUGAAUUUGAUCUCAUAUUUCAGCUUAGUGUUUUGUAAAUAUGUUUUGUACAUAAAGGGAUGUUGACAUUUUACAGUUAAGAGUAUAUCAUUUGAAAAUACCAACCACAGUCUGCCUUUAUUUGCACUGUACACAAAGAUUUUACUGAACACACAAUGCAUAGACAAGGAGUGUUUAUUCAUAACGUGCUACUAACUGUAUAUUUGAAGGGUAUAAAUCAUUGGCUCUUCAUAACUCCAUUAAUAACACAUGAUGCAUUGCAUCCAUACAUUUGUAGCUUUUACAAAAAAGAUAUACAAUAUAUGUAUACAUCAUGUUUAUGUAUAAACACAUACUGUAUUUGUGUCUCCUCUUCACUUUCUGAAGUGUGCGCAUUUCCAUGUGAAAAAAAGGUCAUAAUUGAUUUAUCUACUACUAAAGGGAGGAAUUAACUACCCAAUAACAGAGGUGUAACUUCCUAUAGUACUUUUCAAAGCCAAAGUAAGUCAUAGAUGACUCUUAAUGAUAUUUAAUCCGACCUUCUGAAGCAGUUUGCAUAAUUACCAUAAUGAACUGAUUGCUGAACUGCUCAUUAGACUGUUGCAUUUUUAUACGAAUUACAUCGUUGAUUGCACUUGGGUUUGACUCAGUUGUAAAAUUAAACAUUUUAAUUAUAUAUGUACUUAAUAUUUUAGAAUUUUAUUUAAUUUAAUAUUUAUAUCAAAAAAAGAAAGAAAAGAUUUUACAGAAAAAAUGAAAAUGCUGUUACAUUGACCACACUUAUAAAUAAAUGAUAAAUAAUCAAUAAAUAAUAAAGACACAAGACUAAUCAUUCAUAGGUUUAAAAGGAAAAAGUAUUUCGUAUUAGGGGUCCAUUAGCAAAACAAAAUACUUGAUAUUUUAUAUAUUGUUGGCUUCAAGUAAGCAAUGUGCUCAAAUUGGCACUGAUAUGAUAUACUGAUGAACAAGGUGAUAAAUGUUCUUGCAUUGUUCUUUUUGCAUUAAUCCAGUUUUAAAGUAAGGCCAGUACUGAGGUCUCAGCAAUCAGCAAUUUUGACUUAAAACAAAACAUCUAUAUUUUAUAAAGAAAAAGAAACAGAUUAACUGUCAAAAUUUCUUGUGCCUCCGAUCUCACAAUGACAUUUUGACACAGUUUGCAAUUAGUAUUGUAGUAAAGAUAUGAAUUUGAUCAUCGCUCUUGUAAACAUAUUUUUACGAGGUCAUGCAAACAUUAGAUGUCUUCUGCACAGAAGAACAGUAAAGAUUAUGGCCAGCAACCCAAACAAAAGAAUCUUAACAAUCAACCAAUCAGCUCACACAACAUGCACAACAUUAAAAAAUUGAUUUCUUUUUCGGUUGCAGAACUUAACCAGCAUUGCGACAAAAAGUAGUUAAUCAGCAUUUGUUCCAGUAACCUUAAAUAAUGCCUCUCGUGUGAAGCACAUACGAAACUCGACUCACAAUUGAUUGCAACAGAAUUUGAUGCAGGCAUACUUGAAAAAGCAUAAAUCUAAAUAGCUCACACAAAUAUUGGGUUAAAUAGUCAGUGAUUUUUCUAAUACUUUUAAAUAUUUAGAUAAAUAUAUUUACUAAAGUUGUUGCACUGCAUCAUGAGAUUGCUUUCAAAGUAAAUGAUUCACUCUAUCAUAUAUUUUUGGCUAAAAUAAGGUGUCUUAAAAAGCGGCAUGAUGUUGCAGCAUAACGGGAGUGUGCCUUCUCACUACACUUAGGCCGAAAUUUAAGGUUUAUAUAUUUGAAUUGCUCACAAUAUUUCCAUCCAUUUGGAUUGCACAGUUUUAGAAUAAACAAAGUAAACUUAAUGUGAUGCAUAUUUGUCUGUCACGCAUAAAUAAAACAUAAGAUUUUGCAUUGAAUUACAUAUUUUAUUGUUAACUAUUUGCAUAUUUCAUUUAAAUAUAAUCAAAUAAUCAAAAUGCAUUAACUUAAACUGCUUGGAAACAGCAUAAAUCUGGUAAUUGUGAAAACAAGCAUAUUUAUUCAGUUAAAAACAAAAGUAUGAACGGUUAAAAUAUGGCUAGCUGUGGAGCAGGCAAUAUUAAUUUAAAUGUAUAAGUCUGAAACAAAUUGGAUUUAUUGAGGAUAAAUAUACAAACUGGUUAUUGUGUAUAUAAAACACAUUUAGUUUAUUAGUAAUAUUGUAGAAAUCUUCCCUGUUUCAUUAAUUCAUGGCAGUAUGAAUGACAAAUAUGCAUUACAUUAAUUUAUUAGUUUAGGUUAAAAACUGUAAUUCAAAUGGCUGGAUAUUUUAUAUGCAAUUCAAAUAUAUACAUCUUAUUAUAUUCAGUAGCUAUAGACUAAUUUCGCCCCAUAAAUUCUAAAACUCAGAAACUUUAUUUAAAACGGAGAUUAUCUAGGUUUGAUAUUGCAUUUAAUCUAGGUGUAAAAAGAAAAAAAAAAGCAUUGGACUGUGUCUCAAAUCUCUUAAACUCAUCAGUCACAUGCUUCAAAUGAUGGUUUACACCCACAAUGAGAUCAUGUGGUCUCUGUAACAGCUUGGAGAUACUCUUUUUUUAUACCUGUCUGAACUAGAUCACAAAAUCAAUCACAUGGAUAAUUACCAAACAGAACAAAGCUACAAUGGAUUAAGGCGUGGAAAUGUCUUAAAGAUAUGACCAUCUUGUUUCGUCAUGAAUUUAUUGCCUGAGCAAGUGGGGCUUAAGACAUGAAUAUUUAUUAAGACUUUGUAUAACUAGUGGCUUUCUGAGACCAAAUUGCUACGGGGUACACACCUGAACGUUUUCUUUAAAAAUAAAUAAUAAAAGAAAGAAAUAAACCUUACAUAAAAGUACAAAUUAAACAUACUGUCAUCUUUGGUUGGGGUACAGAAAUAUUAAUCAGACAAAAUUAAAUGAUAGAGAAGUUACAUAUCUGUCAAUGAUAUACCCAAGUCUGAACGUCUGGAACAAUGAUGCUCUCCUUCUCACGUCCGUCCGUCCCACCAGCAGCACUAGCUCCAUCUAGUGCAUGUUACCAGGAAAGCUCUGUGUUCCGGGUCAGACGGGUGCGGUGGACGUGCAUGUGUGGGUUCCCCUGGGUUCCUCUAGGUUCU